rnacentral:rRNA from 1 species
UACGUAGGGUGCGAGCGUUUAAUCGGAAUUACUGGGCGUAAAGCGUGCGCAGGCGGUUCGUUAAGUCAGAUGUGAAAGCCCCGGGCUCAACCUGGGAACUGCAUUUGAUACUGGCGAUCUUGAGUCCGGGAGAGGUGAGUGGAACUGCGAGUGUAGAGGUGAAAUUCGUAGAUAUUCGCAAGAACACCAGUGGCGAAGGCGGCUCACUGGCCCAUUACUGACGCUGAGGCACGAAAGCGUGGGGAGCAAACAGG